GAUAUGCUUGAAGGGCGAAAUGAAGUAAUUUGUAGCCUGACGUUCUUUUGAUUACAUUAUAAAUUCCUUCUGUUACAGGCACCUGGAUUAACCAUCAGCGUGCCUCAAAGCUCUGCACCUUACUAUAAAGAGCAGUUAUCACGUUUCCGCUACGAUUGCUGUUUGAGCAGCGUCUCGAUGUCGAGGAUUAGUGACUACCUGAAGGACGAGUUUACAGAAAUGAAGCCAGUUGCCUAUCUGGCCACCAAGCCUAGGAUUCCUCCAGAAUAUCUAAAUCCAUACGAGGCACUGAAGCUAAGCACCUUGAAGUACUGGAUUGACAAUGAUCGCUGCAAUAACCUUUGUCCAAUUGUACGAAAGCAAGUUAUCACAAAGUGAGCUGUAGCUACCUCUGAGACCAACACACCAACUCUCCUCUUUGUUGAUGGUUUGCUCAGUGUUGCCCACCUUUUUCAUCAUCCUACUUAUUUCAAUUAAACAGCAGAA